rnacentral:tRNA from 1 species
GCCCGGGUGGCGGAACUGGCAGACGCGGAGGGCUUAAACCCCUCUGGUGCGAAAGCACCGUGCGGGUUCGAACCCCGCCCCGGGCA